rnacentral:rRNA from 1 species
CCUACGGGUGGCAGCAGUGGGGAAUAUUGCACAAUGGGGGAAACCCUGAUGCAGCGACGCCGCGUGAGCGAAGAAGGAUUUCGGGAUUGAAAGCUCUAUCAGCAGGGGAGAAAAUGACGGUACCUGAGUCAGAAGCUCCGGAUAAAUACGUUCCAGCAGCCGCGGUAAUACGGAGGGAGCAAGCGUUAUCCGGAUUUACUGGGCGUAAAGGGAGCGUAGGCGGCUUGUCAAGUCUGAUGUGAAAGACCGGGGCUCAACCGCGGGGCUGCAUUGGAAACUGGCAGGCUGGAGUGCCGGAGAGGCAGGCGGAAUUCGUAGUGUAGCGGUGAAAUGCGUAGAUAUUAGGAGGAACACCAGUGGCGAAGGCGGCCUGCUGGACGGUCACUGACGCUGAGGCUCGAAAGCGUGGGGAGCAAACAGGAUUAGAUACCCCGGUAGUC